rnacentral:rRNA from 1 species
GUGGGGAAUCUUAGACAAUGGGGGAAACCCUGAUCUAGCCAUGCCGCGUGAGCGAUGAAGGCCUUAGGGUUGUAAAGCUCUUUCAGCUGGGAAGAUAAUGACGGUACCAGCAGAAGAAGCCCCGGCUAACUCUGUGCCAGCAGCCGCGGUAAUACGGAGGGGGCUAGCGUUGUUCGGAAUUACUGGGCGUAAAGCGCACGUAGGCGGAUCAGAAAGUCAGAGGUGAAAUCCCAGGGCUCAACCGUGGAACUGCCUUUGAAACUCCUGGUCUUGAGGUCGAGAGAGGUGAGUGGAAUUCCGAGUGUAGAGGUGAAAUUCGUAGAUAUUCGGAGGAACACCAGUGGCGAAGGCGGCUCACUGGCUCGAUACUGACGCUGAGGUGCGAAAGCGUGGGGAGCAAACAGGAUUAGAAACCCCAGUAGUCC